rnacentral:lncRNA from 1 species
UCACCCACACUCACAGAAAGAUGCACUGCUCUUGUCUCAACAGGACAAGCUGCUGGGUUUCAAGAGGCUCUUCAAGGAUAGCAGGGGACAGAGGAAACUUCUGCACUUGGGACCAGGAGAAUCAGACUGUCAGUCAAGGGAAAGGGCCCAAGAAAGUCCAGAAAAAGAUUCCAGGAAAGUGGCAAAUUCUCUAAGGAAAGACUAUGCCCAUCUGACCCAUCUCCCUAUGACCCAGCCAAUGGCAUAGGUGAAAUUACCGAUCAUAGAACAUAUCUAAUACCACGGUGCAAGAGGACCACAUGGAAAGCAUUCGAAGCUCUUCUAAAACACAGGCUCUUCUCGGGCUUUUGGCUUUCUUCACUCUGGAUGCCUAGGUCUGGUUUCUGGGUGCUGUUCCUCUCUGUCUAUUAUCAUCAACCUUCUCCUUAAUAAAUCAGCUCAAAGACACUGUCUUCUUGGUUCC